UAAAGGAAUCGCUUAUCCAAUAUUGUUUCACAAGAAACACGUGCUCUUCCACAGAAUAUCGAUACAUCAUCAGAAUCAGGCAACACAGAAGAAGCAAGUCACCUGGAACACCAUGAACAGUAAGCCAUACUACAUUGAAACACAAGACCCACACACAGCUUGCAGAACCUCAUUGUUGCCACAUUUCACAGAUUUACUGUACAAUGCUGCCAUGCUGAUGAGUUAUGUGAGAACAUCUGCUACGAAAUCCAAUACUCUGGUAGCAACAUUCAUGAACAUCCAGUGCCGUAUUGAACUGUGUAUACAGGUGGGGGGAGGUCGCUUCCAUUAUCUCUUGUGGUGUAUCUUUAUUUCCCA
rnacentral:lncRNA from 1 species